rnacentral:rRNA from 1 species
UAGCGUAGGGGGCAAGCGUUGUCCGGAAUUAUUGGGCGUAAAGCGCGUGUAGGCGGCCAGAUAAGUCCGCUGUGAAAUCUCGAGGCUCAACUUCGAGCUGUCGGUGGAAACUGUCUGGCUAGAGUCCGGAAGAGGAGAAUGGAAUUCCUGGUGUAGCGGUGAAAUGCGCAGAUAUCAGGAAGAACACCCGUGGCGAAGGCGGUUCUCUGGGACGGUACUGACGCUGAGACGCGAAAGCGUGGGGAGCGAACAGG